CGGGCAGAAGCCGAUGCAGCACAAGGUAGAUAGAAGCAGAGUUACAAUUGAGUGGGGGAGGAAACAGGGCUAAGAGCUCAGACUGAGUCCACUGUCUCUCCACCUUCAAGACAUUCUGCAAGCAAAGAGGGAACCUGGGUCACCGUGAAGUGAAAAUAAUCUCAAGAAUCCUUUGCAGUCACAGUGUGUACCUGAGCUCCUCCUGACCCUCUUUCAACCCCAAGCACCCUCCAUCCCAUGUCAGAUGGCGUACAGUCUUAGAUACUUCACGGAUGUGGAGCCAUGCAGUAUUCGUCUUUCUAUGAAUGCACUGUCCAGCGUGCCCGUCUCCUGGAGAUUGGUAGAACAGAGUGCUGCGGAGUCACUGAAACUCACCAGAUUUACUAGGUCCCUCCUUCCUCAACCACAGAGGAGUAGUGAGGACUGCCGAGAGACACUCUCAGACCAGCCAAACUGUCCAGAAGAGCUACCUAGAAGCAGUUGAGAUCAUCCAAGUUGCCUGGAAAGGACUCAGACCAAUUGAGCUGCCUGCAAAGGCGCUCUCCA